GACGAACCGUGCGAACGUUGUUCGGAAUCACUGGGCUUAAAGGGCGCGUAGGCGGGCUGCCAAGUCUGGGGUGAAAUCCCACGGCUCAACCGUGGAACUGCCUCGGAUACUGGCGGUCUCGAGGGAGGUAGGGGCAUGCGGAACUGUGGGUGGAGCGGUGGAAAUGCGUUGAUAUCCACAGGAACUCCGGUGGCGAAAGCGGCGUGCUGGACCUCUUCUGACGCUGAGGCGCGAAAGCUAGGGGGAGCAAACGGG
rnacentral:rRNA from 1 species